UACGUAGGCAGCAAGCGUUGUUCGGAGUUACUGGGCGUAAAGGGUGUGUAGGCGGUUAUUUAAGUUUGGUGUGAAAUCUCCCGGCUCAACUGGGAGGGUGCGCCGAAGACUGGAAGACUAGAGUGUGGGAGAGGUAAGCGGAAUUCCUGGUGUAGCGGUGAAAUGCGUAGAUAUCAGGAGGAACACCUGCGGUGUAGACGGCUUACUGGACCACCACUGACGCUGAGGCACGAAAGCGUGGGUAGCAAACAGG
rnacentral:rRNA from 1 species